rnacentral:tmRNA from 1 species
GGGGGCGACCUGGUUUCGACGUGGUCGAUCCAUCCGGAUGAGCUGCAAGCCGAGGUCGCCGGUUGGCCUCGUUAAUCCACCGGCACCAAUCAAAUGCGAAUCCUCGUGAUCUCGCACUCGCUGCCUAGUUCGUAAGAGCUAGAAGGCGACGCCCUUCCGAGUUGGGCCCGUGACUCGGGACGGCGCCAACGAACGGGCUCGGCGCCGAGGGAGAGCCAAUCGCCCGGAGCGCGACACGAAAGGAUGGCUGGCCCGGCGGUAGGACGGCGCACUCCGGCCGUCGGGCGAGAUCCAAGUGCCGCCUACGCUUGUAGAUGCUCAGCCGGUGCGGCUGCGGACGCGGGUUCGAUUCCCGCCGCCUCCAUUC